rnacentral:rRNA from 1 species
AUCUGUGGCCAUACCACCCUGCAUGUGCCUGAUCUGAGAAGCUAAGCAGGGUCGGGCCUGGUUAGUACUUGGAUGGGAGCAUUACCCUUAGCAUGGUGGCAUGCUCUCCCUGAGGAGAUGGCUGAUUCAUGCC